UACGUAGGGGGCAAGCGUUGUCCGGAUUAUUGGGCGUAAAGAGCGUGUAGGCGGCCAUGUAGGUCCGUUGUGAAAACUCGAGGCUCAACCUCGAGACGCCGAUGGAAACCAUGUGGCUAGAGUCCGGAAGAGGAGACUGGAAUUCCUGGUGUAGCGGUGAAAUGCGCAGAUAUCAGGAGGAACACCGGUGGCGAAGGCGGGUCUCUGGGACGGUACUGACGCUGAGACGCGAAAGCGUGGGGAGCGAACAGG
rnacentral:rRNA from 1 species